rnacentral:rRNA from 1 species
AUGGCAACCCCAUCCUCGUUCACGGACCUCCUCCAAAACGCGGAGGUGGACCUCGGAGCUCCGCCUCUAGACCCCUUUAGGGUUGGCGACGACUUGGAGGAAAAGGAGGAAGAUGAGGAGGAUGAAGGGGAUGACGAGGAGGAGGUGGCCGAGAUAGGGGUGGAGGCAUUCACCGCCGCUUCCCGCCCACACGCUCGGUCGACAAACUACACCGAGGCGGAAGAUGUCCUCUUGGUUCGUGCUUGGGCAGCUGUGGGAAUGGAUGCUACCACCGGCACCGAUCAAACCGGUAAACUCUAUUGGCAAAGGACCGAGGACGUCUAUUGUAGGAUCAAGCCGAAGACUAGUGGGUUCAUCCAUCGCACUUACCGGUCGCUUCAAGGCCGGUGGGAGUUGAUCAAGCCCGCUUGUUCUCGUUGGAGUGCGGCCAUGGACCAAGUGAGGGAUGCACCACCUAGUGGAACCGUGGAGAGUGACUAUGAGACAAUUGCCGGCUUGAGGUACAAGGAGAUGGCCGCUUCCAAGGGCAAGCCAUUCCCAUUUAAGCAUGUUUGGUCAAUUCUUCAAACCUUUGACAAGUGGAAGUUGAGGGAUCAAGAGACCGCACCCAAGAAGUCGGCAAUGCUAAGGAUGGACGAUAGUGAAGAUGAGGAGGAGAGGAACGUGGGCAAGCCCGAGGGAAACAAGAAGGGCAAGCUAAGGGUCAAGAUGGAAGAAGAGGCGUCAAGCCUAAGGGAGAAGAUGGACCACAUGAUAAAGGCAAGAGAGGAAUUGACAACGAAGACAUUGGAGAUGAAGCUUCUUAUCACCGAGAAGAAGAAAGAGGUCAAGCUUGCACAAGUUGAAGAAAAACGUGAAGAAGCAAAGCGCAAGGCCGAGUUGGAGGAGAGGAUGAUCAAGCUCAAAGAGGCAAAGGUAUGGAAAGAACUCAUGGUGGAAGAGAAAGAGCACAUGAUGAUGUCCAAGAAGGACAUGUAUCAAGACCAAUUGCAAUGGUGGAAGGACUACAAGGAGGACAUCACGGAGAGGAAGAGGAUGUUUCGUGUUGCGUCCUCUACUUUUUGA